rnacentral:rRNA from 1 species
GAUGAACGCUGGCGGCGUGCCUAAUACAUGCAAGUCGAGCGAACAGACGAGGAGCUUGCUCCUCUGACGUUAGCGGCGGACGGGUGAGUAACACGUGGAUAACCUACCUAUAAGACUGGGAUAACUUCGGGAAACCGGAGCUAAUACCGGAUAAUAUAUUGAACCGCAUGGUUCAAUAGUGAAAGACGGUUUUGCUGUCACUUAUAGAUGGAUCCGCGCCGCAUUAGCUAGUUGGUAAGGUAACGGCUUACCAAGGCAACGAUGCGUAGCCGACCUGAGAGGGUGAACGGCCACACUGGAACUGAGCCACGGUCCAGACUCCUACGGGAGGCAGCAGUAGGGAAUCUUCCGCAAUGGGCGAAAGCCUGACGGAGCAACGCCGCGUGAGUGAUGAAGGUCUUCGGAUCGUAAAACUCUGUUAUUAGGGAAGAUCAAAUGUGUAAGUAACUAUGCACGUCUUGACGGUACCUAAUCAGAAAGCCACGGCUAACUACGUG